AGGCCUUGUCACCGUCGAUCCACCGCCCAAGAACUCGCCGCCGCCACUACGCAUUUCUGCUGCGGCCUAACUGUGUCGCCACCGACCAUGGAACUGCCGCCGAUUUGUCACAUGAGGAGCCGCCAUCCUUGCUCGUCGUUUCCCUCGGAGUCGUCGCCGUCGAGGGCCAGCAGAGGGAGAGAGAGCAACCGUGAGCCAGGUUCACCACCGAGGAGAGGGGCUGUGUGGCACAUCAUCGUCGCGACCCAUUUCACGACCAUCACGGCGAGGGCUCUGUGGCCGUCAUCCCAACAUCGCCGUUCGUGCCCUUGUCGUCGUCACUGUUCCACCCAGCGUCGCCAGUGUUGAGGUCAGCCACUCCACUACCACCGUCGAGCUUGGUUUGGGGUUGGUGCUUCUCAUGGAGGUUUGGAGGAAGGGAGGCAGAACUGCAGAGUGGAGGAGCCACUGUGGUCUGCCGUCGAUCUACACGCCGCCUCCGCCAGAGUUGCCGCUGUCAGAAAAUGGUUUAGGCCGCCGCAGGUGUCGCUGCCGGAGAGGAAGCUGUGCCUCUGUGUUUCUGGCCGCUGGGAGUGGUUAUGUGGCUUCCGGGAUCACUGCCGGAGAUCCGAGCUGAGCUUUUUCCACUUGAGACCCUGCUGCCAUCGCCGAAAAAGUUUUCCGUUGUCGUGAUCAGAAUUUGUCGCCGCUGCCGCUUGAAGUGGCUGCUGGGCUGUCGCUGAACCGGCCCGGAGACCGCCGCUGUUUCGGUUCAGCCGUCCUUUCUUAGUUUUGUGUUGCUAUGGUUAUUGCAAAAGUGGCUGGGAGCUGAGGUUUUGGUUCCCGUCAGUUUCGGUUUGAGGCGGAAAGGACUUGAUGAGGCAUUUGGGCUAUGGUUUUACGUUUUGAGGAUAAGGGCGCAGAAGUCACGAAGGGUUUAUUUUAGUUGUUGUUGAGAUGCUCCGUAUUGUCUUAGUUAUGGUUUAUUGUACCCUCGCCUUUAUCUUGAUGUAUUCUGUAAGUGGGAUAGGAAUUGUAUUGGAUAAUAUUUGUAAUAUUAUUUAUAAAUAUAUGUAUCUAUAUGGAUGUAUCCUUUAUGAGUUUUUUUGUAAGUUAUAUGGUAUCUAUGGAUAUACAUUGUCGAACGAAAGUAUUCUUGGGAGCGGUAUUGCGGUUUAAAGUUUUAAAUAGGCUCAUAUUUUAAUAUUAAAUAGUAUAAGUGUCGUAGUAAUGUCCGAGCUAUCAGAGUUGCGCAGCUGGAAGCGUGAGCUUGGGGUGUUAUAUUAUGGUAUC